GAGUACAUCAUUCAUCACUAAGGAACCCAUUCAUUGUAUCUGGAAUUCACUUGACCUAACCAGUCCACACCCCCUCCCUCCAUUCUGACCAAGCCUCUUCUAACAAGGUGCUCAUUUUUAACAUGAAUCCAAAAUAAAAGGGUCAGGAUAACUAUUAAAUAAAUGCAAGGGUUCCUGCAUCAUCAAUAGAGAAUACCUAAAAUUAUACUAACAUGCAUAAUAAAUGACAAGGCAAGUGAUUUCUAACUCAUUUGAAAGAAUUUUUCUGAAAUAUUCAGAAAUCUUUCUUGUUUUUAGCUUUUCUUCAUAUGUUCCACAUGCACACACGAUAAGGUGGCAUUAAUUAGAUUCAAUAUAUUUUCUAGGAUUAAUUAGUUGUCAGGCUUCCCUAUUCGUUGUUAUAUUUACCACUAAGAAAAGAAUUUGACAGCACUAUCUCAUAGAUUAGGAAAAAGUUCUUCAAAAUCAACAGAGGUGUGUGUGUGUGUGUGUGUGUGUGUGUGUGCGUAUUUAGCAUUUAAAACCAGGUUUUAUAAUUGAUACAUUUAUCCUGAUAGAUUUCCAAAUGAAUCAUCCUGGUGACUAAUAUCUAAGCACAGCAGAAUUUUAAAAUAAUCCAAUAUUUAAAUGCCAAAUACUAUACAGGCAAACAAUUAGAAGUAUAAUUUUCCUUCAGUGAAUGCAAAGUGUUGAUAGAUGAUGUACAAGUUAGCUUUGAAUAUAGGUAUUACGUUAUCACUGUGAUGUUAUUUUUAUCUACUUUGAAGGGGCACACUAGGAAAGUGUUCUCAAUGAACACUUCAGAUCUAUUUUAGAUAAUAACAACUACUUACAAAAUCUGUUUUACUGUUGGUAUACUCCACAUUGAUAAAGAGAUGUUAUUCUUGUGUAUAUGCUACAUAUUAACAAAAAUGCAUUGAUAUCUCCUUUUCUUCACUUGUGAAGUUUUUUCAUGAUCUUAUUUCACUCAUAUCUCACCUUGAAGAAAUUUACAGGUAGACACACUUUUUCACUUCUGUAAUCAAUUGUAUUUUAAAACUUAUUUUAAGGAUCAAUAAAU
rnacentral:lncRNA from 1 species